GGAGGAACAUGUGGUUUAAUUCGAUGAUACGCGAGAACUUACCUGGGCUUAAAUGGGGAGUGACAGCUGUCGAAAGAUGGUUUUCUUCGGACACUCUUCAAGGUGCUGCAUGGUUGUCGUCAGCUCGUGCCGUGAGGUGUCGGGUUAAGUCCCAUAACGAGCGCAACCCUUACCGUUAGUUACCAUCAGGUUAAGCUGGGGACUCUAGCGGGACUGCCACCGUAAGGUGAGAGGAAGUGGGGAUGACGUCAAAUCAGCACGGCCCUUAUGUCCAGGGCUGCACACGUGUUACAAUGGCCAGUACAAAGGGCAGCUACCGGGUGACCGGAUGCUAAUCUCUAAAGCUGGUCUCAGUUCGGAUCGAAGUCUGCAACCCGACUUCGUGAAGCUGGAUUCGCUAGUAAUCGCGCAUCAGCCAUGGCGCGGUGAAUACGUUCCCGGGCCUU
rnacentral:rRNA from 1 species